CCCUUAGAUGUUCUGGGCCGCACGCGCGCUACACUGAUGCAUUCAACGAGUCUAAAACCUGCUCUGAUAGGGGUGGGUAAUCUUUUGAAUGUGCAUCGUGAUUGGGAUAGAUGAUUGCAAUUUUUCAUCUUCAACGAGGAAUGCCUAGUAAACGCAAGUCAUCAGCUUGCAUUGAUUACGUCCCUGCCCUUUGUACACACCGCCCGUCGCUCCUACCGAUUGAAUGAUCCGAUGAAUAUCAUGGAUUGAGGAUGCAAGCAGGUUCACCUGUCUUCAUCUUCGAGAAGUGAAGUAAAUCUUAUCAUUUAGAGGAAGGAGAAGUCGUAACA
rnacentral:rRNA from 1 species